CUAGGGUGGCAGCAGUGGGGAAUAUUGGACAAUGGGCGAAAGCCUGAUCCAGCCAUGCCGCGUGUGUGAAGAAGGCCUUCGGGUUGUAAAGCACUUUCAGUGGGGAAGAAAGCCUUGGGGCUAAUACCCUCGAGGAAGGACAUCACCCACAGAAGAAGCACCGGCUAACUCCGUGCCAGCAGCCGCGGUAAUACGGAGGGUGCGAGCGUUAAUCGGAAUUACUGGGCGUAAAGCGCGCGUAGGCGGUCUGAUAAGCCGGUUGUGAAAGCCCCGGGCUCAACCUGGGAACGGCAUCCGGAACUGUCAGGCUAGAGUGCAGGAGAGGAAGGUAGAAUUCCCGGUGUAGCGGUGAAAUGCGUAGAGAUCGGGAGGAAUACCAGUGGCGAAGGCGGCCUUCUGGACUGACACUGACGCUGAGGUGCGAAAGCGUGGGUAGCAAACAGGAUUAGAUACCCGAGUAGUC
rnacentral:rRNA from 1 species